UCACGUUUUAGAAGUAAUUUAAUUUCAUUUAAAACUAAUCUAUUUUACUAGUCAAAUAAAGAUAAGUUUCAAAAUUUCAUACAAGAGUUCUAAUCUUUUUUUUUUUGGCACAUGUGAUACGAGUGAUAACUAUAUAAUAUACAAGUCAAAUCCAUUUUUUGGGAAAGAUUAAUCUCUUCUCUCGAUUAGCCAAUGAACCAGAGACACUUGAGGCAAAUUUAUAAAAAAUUAUUUCCAUAUUUUGUCCGUUAGUCGAUGAUAUUUUAAAAUUUAGGCAUAUUUUAAGAUUUAGGCAUAUUUUAAAGUUUUCACAAUAACGUGGAAGAAUUAAAAAUAAGGACAGUAGUUUGAAACAAUCCACUAUAUUACUCUAUAAUAUCAUGCAAAACAUUUGGGGAAAGAGACAGACAAGUUAAGAACCUUAAGAUAAAACUACGAUUUGAACUUGUCUCUCAAACCAAACAAUAAGAUAUAUUCGUAUUUUGAAGAUCUUUGAGUACUAAUCCAUGGCGAUCUCUCACGUUCAUCUUGUUGUUCUUCUCAUCCUAUCACUCUUAUUGUUACCUACUUUGCGGGCCAUCGAUUACUCUGACUGCGGUGAUCGAAGUUCACCUGUUCAAGAUAUCCGGUUCAACAAGUAAAAAUAUCACUGGAGGAGUUUUUUAUGUGGAUGUUAUAAUAGACAUGACUCAUUUGUCUAAUUAUAAAUACGACUUAUGUACAUAUAUGGCAUGCCCUAUUGCACCUGGUGCCUUCGUGCUUCCCCUUGACAAUAUCAUUCCUUUUUAUCCACUGGUGAAAAUAAGGGUUCGCAUAGACAUUUUUGACGACUCUAAAGAUUCGAAUCAAAUAAUGUGCCUCACUUUCGAAAUCCAAAAGGAGCGUUCCUUUGCGGUUAAUCAAGUUGCCAGAUGAAAAUUGUUAUCAAGUCUAUAUACAAGUAUGUGAUCGCUUUAUAUUGUAUGAUAAACUUGAAUUAUCUAAGUUUUCUUUUUCUUUCUUUUUGUGUGGUAUCCAGGAAAUAAAAAAGAGUUUGUAUAUAGAUCUUUACCCAAGUUUGAUUUGUCUAUUUAAAUUUGGAUUGAUUUCUCUGAACCAGUGCUAAAAAGUAAAAUACAUUUUUAGACAAUUUCCUAGUAUAAAAUUCCAAGUUGCAACAUU